UCUAUUCUCCUUUCUUUAUCUUGAUAGCACUAAUAAAUCUUUUUUGUGUGUUUCACAUAGAGUUGAUGGCAUUCUUGCUCUAAUGUGCAAGGGCGCAGCCUCACCUCUUUUAAACGUCCAUCAAGAAUAAUCUUGGAGGCGCAAAGCUUCCUUGGCGAAAGAUAAGGUCAUUGGCCGUUAAGUUGCGUGGUGGGGGGCCAGGGAGCUGCGUGUCUGUCAGAAAUAGACUCUGUAUCUCUAUGAGAUCCCAAGCUAAACUUCAGAGAAAUCUUAUGUACCUUGCAGCUAUUGCUGAUUCACAGUCCCAGCCCCCAAGCAUGCAUUCACAGGUAACAUGCCUUAUUUCCUGGUUACUAGUCGGAGCUUUUUAUCGAAGAUUAGAAAGAUCCUUCAAUGCAAGGGUGUAGAGGCCAUUCUAGUAUCAGGAAGUCGAUCAACUCCUGGUAAACCAGAUAGCGAAAGCCAAGACACCAACUUGUCCAAAGUAAAAAACAAAAUUGUAGCAGGGCACUGGUUGAUGCUUUUAGUAGCAAUUAAAAUUGGGUUCUUGUUAAAGAUUAUUGAUGAUGGAAACAUACAGAUGGAUUGAUCUAGCUUUAAUGGAAAUGUGGCUCCUGUUUCUUCCUUA